GCGACUGUAGUCUAGUACUGUUUUUGACAUGUGUAUGUUCAACUACAAGUAGACAACGGUAGGAUUCUAGAUUGCCAAUCUAGUGACCCGAGUUCGAACCUCGGCGGUCGCA
rnacentral:tRNA from 1 species